rnacentral:rRNA from 1 species
UAUCGGUAUAUCUGCCCAGUGAUUUUUCAACGGCCGCAGUAUCCUAACUGUGCUAAGGUAGCAAAAUAAUUAGUUUUUUAAUUGGAAACUUGUAUGAAAGAAUCGACGAGAGAUUAACUGUCUCGAUAAUUCUACCAACUUACUUCAGGAGUAAAAAAGCUCUUAUUCUCUAACGGGACGACAAGACCCUAUAAAACUUAACCCUCCCUCUUGCUGUUAAUUAUAUAUUACAAGAUAAUGGGUUAUGCUGGGGCGGCAAGAAUUAAUAUAAACGAUCCACCGCUAAACAUCUUGAAUGAACUCUAUAAACCCUUUUAAGUAAUCAAGAACAAGUUACUUUAGGGAUAACAGCGUAAUAUUUCUUUAGAGCCCUUAUCGACAGAAAUGUUUUCGACCUCGAUGUUGAAUUGAAGAUUCUACUCAGAGCAG